UUCUUAGUCUCAGACUUAAAAGUCUCUGUUAAAACGAGAUAGCGUUAUAUCACUGACAUAAAUCUAUCCCGUUUUAACCGAAACUUAAGUCUAAGCAAAGUCAACGUAGGCUCUAAGAG